rnacentral:rRNA from 1 species
GACGAACGCUGGCGGCGUGCUUAACACAUGCAAGUCGAGCGGUAAGGCCCUUUCGGGGGUACACGAGCGGCGAACGGGUGAGUAACACGUGGGUGACCUGCCCUCAGCUCUGGGAUAAGCCUGGGAAACUGGGUCUAAUACUGGAUAUGACUCCACGGUGCAUGUCGUGGGGUGGAAAGCCUUGUGCGGCUGAGGAUGGGCCCGCGGCCUAUCAGCUUGUUGGUGGGGUGACGGCCUACCAAGGCGACGACGGGUAGCCGGCCUGAGAGGGCGACCGGCCACACUGGGACUGAGACACGGCCCAGACUCCUACGGGAGGCAGCAGUGGGGAAUCUUGCGCAAUGGGCGAAAGCCUGACGCAGCGACGCCGCGUGA